GCCAGGGUGGUAUGAACUGCUGGAUUACAAAACAGCCCUCCCAUGUGUCUGCCUGUUCUCUGUGCCAGCCGAGAGACAAGCGAUACCAUGCUCCCGGAGCGCUGCUGAGGCUGAAGGGUGGGAGGGAAGGAGGGAGGGAAGAAAGAUGGAGAAAGUGAAGCAAAGAGUGAGAGAAGCAGAACCAAGAAAGUGGGAGGACAGAGAAAUCAUAUGAGCAGGGAUGCAGGGACAAGAAGACAUGGGAUGGGUAGACAAAAGAUGUAGAGAAAGGAGGAGAGAGAGAGAGAGAGAGAGAGAGAGAGAGGGGAGGGAAAGAAGAAGGGAGGUUGGAGCGAUGGCAGAUGAAAGCUUUGGGAGGAGCGGAGCACUGAGCAGCAUCAGCCAGCGCUGUGAGAGCAUGUUGAGCCUGCAGGGACAGCCGGGGGGUCAGCUGUCAGCCAUAAGGUUACCGGACUGAAGUCAGCUGAGAGAGCGGAGAAACUGCGGCGUGUUGGAAGAAGCUUAAAAGACGGACGCCUUCAACCGAGAUGUGAAGAGAGUGUGUAACUUUCUAACGACACAAAGAGGAGGAGGUUAAAUCGGUGUGAGUGACCUGUUUCACAUCAGAUCAUCAGCCUGUAAAAUGUGAAAGCAGAACUCCUGUGAGCAAACUGCCCCCCAGUGGAGAGACUGUGAAUGACAUGGAAACUGGUCCCAGUAUCUGUUGAGGCUCCAACCUGGGUAUUGUCGCAGCUAUGUGUAUGAAGGUAAUCUGUACUGCAGAGGGGCGAUGGGUUCAAAUGUUACAUAAUCUUUGCUGGUUCAGCAGGUGUCGUGCGUGUGUGUUUCUGUCCAUGGAGAGAAGUUCUCGUCACACUGCCUCUGCAUCGUCUCAGCGCCGUGGUGAAGGCCUGU